CCUACGGGGGGCUGCAGUGAGGAAUAUUGGUCAAUGGACGCAAGUCUGAACCAGCCAUGCCGCGUGAAGGAUGAAGGCCUUCUGGGUUGUAAACUUCUUUUACCUGGGAAGAAAACUACGAUUUCUAUCGUAGCCGACGGUACCAGAGGAAUAAGCACCGGCUAACUCCGUGCCAGCAGCCGCGGUAAUACGGAGGGUGCAAGCGUUAUCCGGAUUUACUGGGUUUAAAGGGUGUGUAGGCGGGCUUUUAAGUCAGUGGUGAAAUCUCCGGGCUCAACCUGGAAACUGCCAUUGAUACUAUUAGUCUUGAAUUUUGUUGAGGUAGGCGGAAUAAGUCAUGUAGCGGUGAAAUGCUUAGAUAUGACUUAGAACACCAAUUGCGAAGGCAGCUUGCUAAACCAAUAUUGACGCUGAGGCACGAAAGCGUGGGGAUCAAACAGGAUUAGAUACCCUUGUAGUC
rnacentral:rRNA from 1 species